GACGAAGGGGGCUAGCGUUGUUCGGAAUUACUGGGCGUAAAGCGAGUGUAGGUGGUUGUCCAAGUUGGAUGUGAAAGCCUUGAGCUCAACUCAAGAAAUGCAUUCAGGACUGGGCGGCUAGAGGACCGGAGAGGAUAGUGGAAUUCCCAGUGUAGUGGUGAAAUACGUAGAGAUUGGGAAGAACACCAGUGGCGAAGGCAGCUACCUGGACCAACACUGACACUGAGGCACGAAAGCGUGGGGAGCAAACAGG
rnacentral:rRNA from 1 species